rnacentral:rRNA from 1 species
AGCGUACACGGUGGAUGCCCUGGCAGUCAGAGGCGAUGAAGGACGUGCUAAUCUGCGAUAAGCGUCGGUAAGGUGAUAUGAACCGUUAUAACCGGCGAUUUCCGAAUGGGGAAACCCAGUGUGUUUCGACACACUAUCAUUAACUGAAUCCAUAGGUUAAUGAGGCGAACCGGGGGAACUGAAACAUCUAAGUACCCCGAGGAAAAGAAAUCAACCGAGAUUCCCCCAGUAGCGGCGAGCGAACGGGGAGCAGCCCAGAGCCUGAAUCAGUGUGUGUGUUAGUGGAAGCGUCUGGAAAGGCGCGCGAUACAGGGUGACAGCCCCGUACACAAAAAUGCACAUGCUGUGAGCUCGAUGAGUAGGGCGGGACACGUGGUAUCCUGUCUGAAUAUGGGGGGACCAUCCUCCAAGGCUAAAUACUCCUGACUGACCGAUAGUGAACCAGUACCGUGAGGGAAAGGCGAAAAGAACCCCGGCGAGGGGAGUGAAAAAGAACCUGAAACCGUGUACGUACAAGCAGUGGGAGCACGCUUAGGCGUGUGACUGCGUACCUUUUGUAUAAUGGGUCAGCGACUUAUAUUCUGUAGCAAGGUUAACCGAAUAGGGGAGCCGAAGGGAAACCGAGUCUUAACUGGGCGUUAAGUUGCAGGGUAUAGACCCGAAACCCGGUGAUCUAGCCAUGGGCAGGUUGAAGGUUGGGUAACACUAACUGGAGGACCGAACCGACUAAUGUUGAAAAAUUAGCGGAUGACUUGUGGCUGGGGGUGAAAGGCCAAUCAAACCGGGAGAUAGCUGGUUCUCCCCGAAAGCUAUUUAGGUAGCGCCUCGUGAAUUCAUCUCCGGGGGUAGAGCACUGUUUCGGCAAGGGGGUCAUCCCGACUUACCAACCCGAUGCAAACUGCGAAUACCGGAGAAUGUUAUCACGGGAGACACACGGCGGGUGCUAACGUCCGUCGUGAAGAGGGAAACAACCCAGACCGCCAGCUAAGGUCCCAAAGUCAUGGUUAAGUGGGAAACGAUGUGGGAAGGCCCAGACAGCCAGGAUGUUGGCUUAGAAGCAGCCAUCAUUUAAAGAAAGCGUAAUAGCUCACUGGUCGAGUCGGCCUGCGCGGAAGAUGUAACGGGGCUAAACCAUGCACCGAAGCUGCGGCAGCGACGCUUAUGCGUUGUUGGGUAGGGGAGCGUUCUGUAAGCCUGCGAAGGUGUGCUGUGAGGCAUGCUGGAGGUAUCAGAAGUGCGAAUGCUGACAUAAGUAACGAUAAAGCGGGUGAAAAGCCCGCUCGCCGGAAGACCAAGGGUUCCUGUCCAACGUUAAUCGGGGCAGGGUGAGUCGACCCCUAAGGCGAGGCCGAAAGGCGUAGUCGAUGGGAAACAGGUUAAUAUUCCUGUACUUGGUGUUACUGCGAAGGGGGGACGGAGAAGGCUAUGUUGGCCGGGCGACGGUUGUCCCGGUUUAAGCGUGUAGGCUGGUUUUCCAGGCAAAUCCGGAAAAUCAAGGCUGAGGCGUGAUGACGAGGCACUACGGUGCUGAAGCAACAAAUGCCCUGCUUCCAGGAAAAGCCUCUAAGCAUCAGGUAACAUCAAAUCGUACCCCAAACCGACACAGGUGGUCAGGUAGAGAAUACCAAGGCGCUUGAGAGAACUCGGGUGAAGGAACUAGGCAAAAUGGUGCCGUAACUUCGGGAGAAGGCACGCUGAUAUGUAGGUGAAGCGACUUGCUCGUGGAGCUGAAAUCAGUCGAAGAUACCAGCUGGCUGCAACUGUUUAUUAAAAACACAGCACUGUGCAAACACGAAAGUGGACGUAUACGGUGUGACGCCUGCCCGGUGCCGGAAGGUUAAUUGAUGGGGUUAGCGCAAGCGAAGCUCUUGAUCGAAGCCCCGGUAAACGGCGGCCGUAACUAUAACGGUCCUAAGGUAGCGAAAUUCCUUGUCGGGUAAGUUCCGACCUGCACGAAUGGCGUAAUGAUGGCCAGGCUGUCUCCACCCGAGACUCAGUGAAAUUGAACUCGCUGUGAAGAUGCAGUGUACCCGCGGCAAGACGGAAAGACCCCGUGAACCUUUACUAUAGCUUGACACUGAACAUUGAGCCUUGAUGUGUAGGAUAGGUGGGAGGCUUUGAAGUGUGGACGCCAGUCUGCAUGGAGCCGACCUUGAAAUACCACCCUUUAAUGUUUGAUGUUCUAACGUUGACCCGUAAUCCGGGUUGCGGACAGUGUCUGGUGGGUAGUUUGACUGGGGCGGUCUCCUCCUAAAGAGUAACGGAGGAGCACGAAGGUUGGCUAAUCCUGGUCGGACAUCAGGAGGUUAGUGCAAUGGCAUAAGCCAGCUUGACUGCGAGCGUGACGGCGCGAGCAGGUGCGAAAGCAGGUCAUAGUGAUCCGGUGGUUCUGAAUGGAAGGGCCAUCGCUCAACGGAUAAAAGGUACUCCGGGGAUAACAGGCUGAUACCGCCCAAGAGUUCAUAUCGACGGCGGUGUUUGGCACCUCGAUGUCGGCUCAUCACAUCCUGGGGCUGAAGUAGGUCCCAAGG